rnacentral:rRNA from 1 species
ACGGAGGGUGCAAGCGUUGCUCGGAAUUAUUGGGCGUAAAGGGCAGGUAGGUGGUCUCAUUUGUCUGGGGUGAAAUCCUUGAGCUUAACUCAAGAAGUGCCCCAGAAACGGUGAGACUUGAGUGCUGGAGAGGGUCGUGGAAUUCCCGGUGUAGCGGUGAAAUGCGUAGAGAUCGGGAGGAACACCAGAGGCGAAGGCGGCGACCUGGACAGUGACUGACACUCAACUGCGAAAGCGUGGGGAGCAAACAGGA